rnacentral:rRNA from 1 species
UGGGGAAUUUUGGACAAUGGGCGCAAGCCUGAUCCAGCAAUGCCGCGUUCAGGAUGAAGGCCUUCGGGUUGUAAACUGCUUUUGUACGGAGCGAAAAGGUCUGCUCUAAUACGGUGGGCUCAUGACGGUACCGUAAGAAUAAGCAUCGGCUAACUACGUGCCAGCAGCCGCGGUAAUACGUAGGGUGUGAGCGUCAAUCUGAAUUACUGGGCGUAACGCGUGCGCAGGCGGUUAUAUAAGACAGAUGUGAAAUCCCCGAGAUCAACCUGGGAACUGCAUUUGUGACUGUAUAGCUAGAGUACGGUAGAGGGAGAUGGAAUUCAGCGUGUAGCAGUGAAAUGCGUAGAUAUGAGGAGGAACACAGAUGGCGAAGGCAGUCCCCUGGACCUGUACUGACGCUCAUGCACGAAAGCGUGGAGAGCAAGCA